rfam:Entamoeba invadens IP1 unplaced genomic scaffold scaff_1105074724362, whole genome shotgun sequence.
GCCUUCCUAGCUCAGUCGGUAGAGCGUGCGGCUUUUAACCGUAAGGUCGGGGGUUCGAGCCCCCCGGGGGGCG